rnacentral:rRNA from 1 species
UACAGAGGUGGCAAGCGUUGUUCGGAAUUACUGGGCGUAAAGGGCGCGUAGGCGGCCUUCUAAGUCAGACGUGAAAUCCCCAGGCUUAACUUGGGAACUGCGUCUGAUACUGGGAGGCUUGAGUGCGGGAGAGGGAUGUGGAAUUCCAGGUGUAGCGGUGAAAUGCGUAGAUAUCUGGAGGAACACCAAUGGCGAAGGCAGCUCACUGGGACGGUAUUGACGCUGAGACGCGAAAGCGUGGGGAGCAAACAGG